rnacentral:tRNA from 1 species
GCCCGGGUGGCGGAACGGCAGACGCGCGGGACUUAAAAUCCUGUGUCCGAAAGGGCGUGUGGGUUCGAGUCCCACCCCGGGUACCA